AUUGAACGCUGGCGGCAGGCCUAACACAUGCAAGUCGAACGAGCGGCGGACGGGUGAGUAUUGUCUGGGAGACUGCCUGAUGGAGGGGGAUAACUCCUGGAAACGGUAGCUCAUACCGCAUACCCUCAGAUGUGCCCCGAGGGGAUUGGCUCGUAGGUGGGGUAACGGCUCACCUCGGCGACGAUCCCUAGCUGGUCUGAGAGGAUGACCAGCCACACUGGAACUGAGACACGGUCCAGACUCCUACGGGAGGCAGCAGUGGGGAAUAUUGCACAAUGGGCGCAAGCCUGAUGCAGCCAUGCCGCGUGUGUGAAGAAGGCCUUCGGGUUGUAAAGAACUUUCAGCGGGGAGGCGUUACCCGCAGAAGAAGCACCGGCUAACUCCGUGCCAGCAGCCGCGGUAAUAC
rnacentral:rRNA from 1 species